rnacentral:rRNA from 1 species
AGAGUUUGAUCAUGGCUCAGGAUGAACGCUAGCUACAGGCUUAACACAUGCAAGUCGAGGGGCAGCAUGUUGGUUGCUUGCAACCAAUGAUGGCGACCGGCGCACGGGUGAGUAACGCGUAUCCAACCUACCCUUGUCCAUCGGAUAACCCGUCGAAAGGCGGCCUAACACGAUAUGCGGUUCUCAGCAGGCAUCUAACGAGAACGAAAUGUGAAGGAGAAGGAUGGGGAUGCGUCUGAUUAGCUUGUUGGCGGGGUAACGCCACCAAGGCGACGAUCAGUAGGGGUUCUGAGAGGAAGGUCCCCCANAUUGGAACUGAGACACGGUCCAAACUCCUACGGAGGCA